CCCUCCCCCUUUCUUCAUGCCUAACACAUGCAAGUCGAACGAACCCUUCGGGGUUAGUGGCGCACGGGUGCGUAACGCGUGGGAAUCUGCCCUUUGCUUCGGAAUAACUCAGGGAAACUUGUGCUAAUACCGGAUGAUGUCUUCGGACCAAAGAUUUAUCGGCAAGGGAUGAGCCCGCGUAGGAUUAGGUAGUUGGUGGGGUAAAGGCCUACCAAGCCGACGAUCCUUAGCUGGUCUGAGAGGAUGAUCAGCCACACUGGGACUGAGACACGGCCCAGACUCCGACGGGAGGCAGCAGUGGGGAAUAUUGGACAAUGGGCGCAAGCCUGAUCAAGCAAUGCCGCGUGAGUGAUGAAGGCCGUUGGGUCGUAAAGCUCUUUUACCAGGGAUGAUAAUGACAGUACCUGGAGAAUAAGCUCCGGCUAACUCCGUG
rnacentral:rRNA from 1 species